rnacentral:lncRNA from 1 species
GUUGCGAUUUCAGCAUCCAUCCUCAGCCAUGCACAUGUGCAAACCCUGCCUCCUGUGUUGGCCUCCAGGUCCCAGCUGGUGUCCAGUUACUGCUGGAACCCUGGGCAGUCUGGGUGAGUUACCCAGACUGGGCAAAGACCUUCUGUCCAGUUGCCCGCUGGUCUGGGGAACCACAUGCCUUCCCUCCUAAGCUUGUGGCAAUGACAUUCUGUUCACCCCCAACCCCUACCCGCAGCCAGCACAGAAAUCAGAGGAGGAGCCACACAUCCAGGUCAGGGAAUCUGUACCCAGGCCCGGAAGCUGGUUAUUAAGAUCAGGGGACAGAGGCGGUAAUUUUCCCGGCCACUCCUGGAAGAUGGUGGCCUUGUUUUCGGGGCCACGCAUAGUUUAGCAAAGGAUGUUUGGAAAAGGGACGUUAUCUCUCGUUUCUAAGCUGUGCAGUGAGGAUGCUGGGAAGUGAUGGGCAGGGGUGGAGCGGGUGGGCUUUUUGGUAAGAACACUGCUGCCAGUGAACAUGAAACCCAAGUCAUCGCUUCAGCCCCGGAUAGGAAGACAGUGUAGAAAGUCUGGACACUCUCUGCGAUUUUCGGGUUCCUCUGAAGAUGCUGAGAACGUGCUUGGAGUGAGCUGAAAUGACGGGGCCCUGACCACCGACACCCCCCGAGUCAGAGGCCAUGGGGCCAACAGAGGACCAAGGGGCACGGACUCCCUGGGUCGAAAACUUCAGGAGGAAAGUGCUGGCUGGCAGCUGGGUUGUCCUGGGUGUCCCCGGGACUCCCCACCAGCCCUGCUGCUGCAGCCCCUUGCUGGUGGCGGCUGCAAGCAUCUGGUCCAGAAGGACGGUGAUGGUCUCAGCAUGGGGAGCAGGUGGAGAGCAGGGAGCGGUUUCCAAUGGCACACAGCACUGAGGCAGGACAGUGAAGAAGGUGCCGUCCUCGAAACCCGGUGGGCAGCCCUCACGGUGACGACGAUGUCAGGGCCACAUCAUCUGCGUUUUCAUUGGCCGGGCGCCUACUGAGGCUGGGCCCUGCUCCGUAUCUACACACAAAGGCCCCUAAGAGAUGAGAUUCUGUUGUCUUCCUCCGACACAUGGAACAGGAGAGCUGUCCUCCGCCACAUUCGCACCGGCAGGCAGACAGUGCCGCCCCGCAGCCCAGAGCCCUGUGUCCCUCUGCUCUCCUGCGGAGUGUCGCCUGCCAGGACAGGCUACGUGAAAAGUGGCCCUGACUUGUUAAGAUGUACACAUUCUCCAAAACGAAUGUAAAGUUAAUGUGGACAAUGAACGUAUAUACCACCAGGAAUGUUU